UGGGGAAUAUUGCACAAUGGGCGAAAGCCUGAUGCAGCGACGCCGCGUGAGGGAUGACGGCCUUCGGGUUGUAAACCUCUUUCAGUAGGGACGAAGCGCAAGUGACGGUACCUGCAGAAGAAGCACCGGCUAACUACGUGCCAGCAGCCGCGGUAAUACGUAGGGUGCGAGCGUUGUCCGGAAUUACUGGGCGUAAAGAGCUCGUAGGCGGUUUGUCACGUCGUCUGUGAAAUCCUAGGGCUUAACCCUGGACGUGCAGGCGAUACGGGCUGACUUGAGCACUACAGGGGAGACUGGAAUUUCUGGUGUAGCGGUGGAAUGCACAGAUAUCAGGAAGAACACCGAUGGCGAAGGCAGGUCUCUGGGUAGUAACUGACGCUGAGGAGCGAAAGCAUGGGUAGCGAACAGG
rnacentral:rRNA from 1 species